UACGGGGGGGGCAAGCGUUGUUCGGAAUUACUGGGCGUAAAGGGCUCGUAGGCGGCCAACUAAGUCAGACGUGAAAUCCCCAGGCUCAACCUGGGAACUGCGUCUGAUACUGGAUGGCUUGAAUUCGGGAGAGGGAUGCAGAAUUCCAGGUGUAGCGGUGAAAUGCGUAGAUAUCUGGAGGAAUACCGGUGGCGAAGGCGGCAUCCUGGACCGAUACUGACGCUGAGGAGCGAAAGCGUGGGGAGCAAACAGG
rnacentral:rRNA from 1 species